GCAAAACAAACCACUCAAAUCGUGAGCGGACGCCCGAACGAUCGGAUGUGUACUACUGGUUCAAAUUCACUUCUAGAGGAUCGACCAUAUUAUAUCCAUGGAGGGAAUGAAAUUGACAUCGGGUUUCAUACUUUGUCUUCUAUUAUUUGCACACAGAAUAAGUGGUGAUACGAAAGUGUGCAGUGGAACAAGUAACUCACUUUCAAUUAUGAAUGAUGUAGCUGAACGUUACAGAAGAUUGACUUCCUUAUAUGGCAAACAGUGCACGCAUAUCAACGGUAACUUGGAAAUAGUGGGAUUGGAAGACCCGGAUGUAGACUUGACCUUCUUAGAAAGCAUCCAAGAAGUGAGUGGCUACGUUCUCAUUGCCCUGAAUUAUGUACCAACCAUGCCUUUGAAAAGUCUACGGGUUAUUCGGGGAAACAGUGACUGGAACACCAACGCUCUGGCAGUAGUGUUGAACUAUGACCCUAUCACAGAGGGAUUGGGAUUGAAAGAACUUCAAUUCUAUAACCUGCUCGAAAUUAGUGGGACUCACAAUGUAAAUAUAUCUUCUAAUCGUGAUCUUUGUUACGUUGACACUAUUAUCUGGGAUGAUAUUAUCGAUCCUUCUACUCAAAAGGCUGUCAUCAGAGGUGUAUCAAAUGGUAAAUGUAAAAACUGUGCAUCGGACUGUGACGGUCAUUGUUGGGGUUCUAAAAACUGUCAAGAGCUGACCAAAACAAUUUGUCACGCAAAGUGCAAAUAUCGUUGCAAAUCAAGUCGUAAACGUGAUUGUUGUCAUAGCAGCUGUAGUGCUGGAUGUACAGGACCGAGCAGCCAAGAUUGUAUGGCGUGUCGUGAAUUCGAGCACGAAGGGAAAUGCGUUGAAUACUGUCCCCCGACGUACGUGUACGACCCACAGUUCCAGGGUUCUUGCCUUGAUGCGUGCCCAGCUCACCUGGUAGAAAAUGAUCGACAUUGUGUACAAACCUGUCCAGAUGGGAAGAUUACUGUAAAGGGAAAAUGUCAUGAUUGUGAGGGCGUGUGUCCUAAGGUUUGUCCGGGGAUCGGCAAUCCAGAGUUUGGUGCGUUUGAAUACGUGGAUGAACGCAAUAUACAUGCAUUUCAGAACUGUACAAUAAUUGAAGGAAAUGUCAUCAUCUUACCAAGUACAUUCAACGGAGAUCCGUUUUUAGGAGUAGUUGGAAUAUCAUCGCAAGCUUUGGAAGUUUUCAGCAGUGUGCAGGAAAUCACUGGACAUCUGGCUUUACUCCAUUCCAGUCCUGAAAUGAAAGAUUUUUCAGUAUUUGGAAAUCUCCAAAUAAUUCGAGGACAAGAUCUGUACUGUAUUGCGGGUGCUGAUGAGUGCAAUGAUUGUAAAAACAUGAAGGAUGGUGAAUAUUGUCUUGAAAAGUGUCCAUCGAUGAAAUAUGCCAAUUCAAGAAAAUUGUGUCGUCCGUGUCACGAAUUUUGUUCUAUAGGAUGCACAGGGCCUUCAAAUGUGAGGAAACAUGGCGGCUGCAAAGCAUGUAUCAGGUCGAAAUACUUAGAUGACGGGACCGUGGAAUGCAUUGACCCAGCCGCGCCGUCUUUUAAAUGUGUAUCAGAGGAUGAAGAAGAAUGUCUUGAUCAAUGUACCGACUUGGUGGACGACCAAGACAGUCGGAUUCUGGAACUUGAAAAAGAAGUCGCCAUAUACCGUGAACAAGUUACGCACUUGAAUGAGGUUUUAAAAUUGCACUUCAUCACAGAGCACGGCAGGGAAUUCAAAGAAAGUGACUUGAAGAUCAGCUAAGUUUGUGAACAACUUGGAAAUAAAAUGAUCAAACAUUCAAA
rnacentral:sRNA from 1 species